rnacentral:rRNA from 1 species
GCAGCUAACGCAUUAAGCACUCCGCCUGGGGAGUACGACCGCAAGGUUGAAACUCAAAGGAAUUGACGGGGGCCCGCACAAGCGGUGGAGCAUGUGGUUUAAUUCGAAGCAACGCGAAGAACCUUACCAGGUCUUGACAUCCCGAUGCCCGCUCUAGAGAUAGAGUUUUACUUCGGUACAUCGGUGACAGGUGGUGCAUGGUUGUCGUCAGCUCGUGUCGUGAGAUGUUGGGUUAAGUCCCGCAACGAGCGCAACCCUUAUUGUUAGUUGCCAUCAUUCAGUUGGGCACUCUAGCGAGACUGCCGGUAAUAAACCGGAGGAAGGUGGGGAUGACGUCAAAUCAUCAUGCCCCUUAUGACCUGGGCUACACACGUGCUACAAUGGCUGGUACAACGAGUCGCAAGUCGGUGACGGCAAGCUAAUCUCUUAAAGCCAGUCUCAGUUCGGAUUGUAGGCUGCAACUCGCCUACAUGAAGUCGGAAUCGCUAGUAAUCGCGGAUCAGCACGCCGCGGUGAAUACGUUCCCGGGCCUUGUACACACCGCCCGUCACACCACGAGAGUUUGUAACACCCGAAGUCGGUGAGGUAACCUUUUAGGAGCCAGCCGCCUAAGGUGGGAUAGAUGAUUGGGGUGAAGUCGUAACAAGGUAGCCGUAUCGGAAGGUGCGGCUG